rnacentral:lncRNA from 1 species
UUUGAUUUGACAAUCACAUUAACAUCAUGAAUUGUAAAUAGAUGGAAAAAUUAGGGCACAGAUUCUGAUGCCUAUCCACACUGCUCAAUUUUCUGUGUGAAUAUCAGAGAAUUUAGGAGGAUAAGACAAAAUUGUAGGAAAGACAACUUAUAAGAAAUCUAAAUUUCCAAGAUAAUGUAUAUGUAAGAAUAUGUACAUAUGUAAUUUUACCUACAGAGCAUCUUUCCCAUCCGUUUUGGUACAAUAAAGCUGGAAAAUGUACCAUUACUGUUGUUUAACAGGGAUAGAUUCUGAGCAACAAAGAAAAGUAUAAUACCAUAUUAACUAAAUAAUUGAAUUAAACAAGAGUGUAAAGAAGUGAGUAGUUCCACUCUUUGUACUGCUAGUGAUAUAAACUCCAUGAAAAAAAUCCCCAUAUAGGAAUUGUAUAUGCAAUUUAUUACACUUCAUUCAUUUAUUCUUUCUAUCAAUACUGAUCCCCUAUCAUACGUUGAGUAGUAUACUUCAGUGUUCCUAGCCAGAUAGUAUAGCUAGAGGAACUUAAUAUGGUAGUUAAAUGGAGAGUUUUCCUCUAAGUUGCCAUAACAUUGCUUUGCAAAUAGUUCUGUGCAAUUGAAAGAACCUGGACUGGCUGCAAUUUUGUCCCCACUUGCUUUUGACCUUAGAUGGGACACUUGGUUGUUCUUUCCCUUAGAAUCCACCUCUUGGGGACUGGGAUGAUAAUCUCAACCAGUCACAGGUUUGUGGGAAAAUCAAGUGAGACAAUUUACGUUACAGGUGGUUAAAAAUAAAUUAGAGUCACAAAGCCAUGGUUCGAAAAAAAUACUAUUUUAGUUUAACUGGAAAUAAUUGUGGUUGAGGCUGUAGCUGGCACCCUAGCUGAGCUCAAAUCCUGAAGUUAAGAGUUGCUGCAUUGGGCCCUUGCUUGAUUUUUAUUAGAAAAGAAUAAAUCAUUCUGCAAUUUACUGCUACAAAAAGAGAAACUCUCCUUACUGUAGUGGAACAUAUUACAUAUUAUAAAAACCAAGUUUAGAUACCAAUUAAGCAAAUAAAUAUUUAGUGAGCAUUUAUCCUUUACCAAUGACUCUUUUUGUGAAGACACAAAGAUGAACAAGCUCUGAUCCCUGACUCUGAGAAGUUCAGUUCUGAGAAGUCUAUUUCCCAUGUCCCCACACCUCAUCUGUACGUGAAGAUAAGCCAGAUGGUCUUGAAGGGCUCACCUCAUCCCAAAAACCAGUGGUUCCACACCCAGAUCACAGGAGGUGAGCUACCUGCCCAACUAGCGACAUGGAAUCUUCAGCUUACUCAAUUAUUGAAAUAAUUGAGUAACAAUAAAUAGCCUUUGUCUUUUGCAGGUGGAAAUCAAAGAAUUUCACAGAAAUCAGUAAUUGUCAGAAACAUCGAUAAUUUUACUUUUGUACCCUUUAAUUAUUUUGCACACAAAAUAUGUGUAGGUUAACCAAGCAAUUAAAUAAAACACACAUACUGAUUUGAAUUUUUAUACCAGAAGCACUUCAUAUGUAACAAUGCGUAUAUCUGGUAAUAAGGAAAGGUAAUUUCUAUGAAUACGGGCUCAGUAAAUGUUUGCAGAAUGAUUGGUAAUGAAUUAAUUAACUGAAUCAUUCCCUUCCUUGUCAAAUAGGAAUUAUGCAAACCAAACUACUUUUGUCAUCAGUUGCCAUGAGAUUAAAAGACAUUGAAAUGAUGCACGUAAGAAAAAAUUUCAAAGUUAAAAACAACUAUGCAAGUGAUAGAAUAAUUGGCUUCCAACUCACGGAGGACAAGGCACAAUAUGUGAUUUUUCUGGCUGCCAGCGACAACCUUCUAGGGUAUUUGUAAUAACAAGAGGAGGCUUGUGAAGCAAUUAGCAGGGUGCCAGGCAAAUAGCAAGUGCUCAAUAAAUACAGCAUCAUCUUUCAAUUAUCUAGCUUUAAGUUACCAUAUUUUCCUUUUAGAGACUACAUCUCUAGGAAUCAUCACACCAGGCAACAGAUUACAGGUCCCACCUGAAGCCUAUGUAGACAUUUCUGCUUCCACACCCACAAAGAGAAUUGGUAAUUCCUUUCUUUCUGUCUCCUUAGAAUUUUUCCAAAU